rnacentral:lncRNA from 1 species
CAGAAAGAGGGCAGUGCAGAGGCAAAAGCACAGAGACAAAAGUCUGCAUGUGGGUGGGGAGUGAGGGACAUGGCUAGCCUACCACGAAGCUUCAGAUCAGGAAGAGAUGACAGCUGAGGCUGGACAGGGUGGCAGAGGGUGUCCUGAAGACAGCGGGGAACCAUGAAAGACAUGGAGCAGGGGCGUGGUGAGAUUAAAUCUGUACAGCAGAGGCAGAAGCCGGCAUCAAGGAGACAACAAUCCUGGCAAGACACAGAUAAGACCAGCACUAGAGAAGAGACGGCCAGCAAGGCUGACGAGGGCCACCUCAGCUGCAUCCCAUAGAGUUGCCACCCAGACCUCAGUCAGGACCUUUCAGGCCAGGCGGGAGCGCCCAACCGAAGGCUUCACAGCUGCCCUCACCACCCAGCCUUCAACGGUGUCCAGAGAGGGUCAGCCAGGCCUGGGUUGGGCACGCUCUACCUUCCCCAGUCACCAGCCUGUUUCCUGGAGGAGAAGGCUGAGACCCGAGAAGGGAGGUGAGUGCACCCCGUCCCAUGUCAGGCUCCGCUGUAUCCCC